AGACCCUUCUUCUCUUCUAGGUGGUGAGAGGGGCCUGUCUGGGCCCUCGGGGCCGGGGCACAUGGCAAGCCACGGUGGAGUGGCGGGGCGAGGCGGCUUUGCACAAGGUGGACAUUCCCAGGGCCACGUGGUGCCAGGUGGCGGACUGGAAGGUGGCGGAGUGGCCAGCCAGGACCGGGGCAGCAGAAUCCCUCACCCACACCCUCAUCCCCCCCGUACCCCCACUUCACCCACCGCUACUAAGUCCCACUCACUGCGAGUUUUCAGGUGGGCAGACGCACUGUUGAAUCUGGUAGCCAGGGUUCCCUCGAACUUGGGGGAUCUUUUUAAAAGCAAAGUAAAUCCUGCCACCGUGUUGUAGCUCAAUACAAUGUGAACUCACUUUUUUUUUUUUUAAUAAAUGUGUUCUUGUUCUGCCAUUUUUAAAUCAAGGUUUCUGUUAACGAGGCAUUCCAUUUUCCAUUAAUAAAGUUUACCAUUCGCA